AGCGUAGACGGCACGGCAAGCCAGAUGUGAAAGCCCGGGGCUCAACCCUGGGACUGCAUUUGGAACUGCUGAGCUAGAGUGUCGGAGAGGCAAGUGGAAUUCCUAGUGUAGCGGUGAAAUGCGUAGAUAUUAGGAGGAACACCAGUGGCGAAGGCGGCUUACUGGACGGUAACUGACGUUGAGGCUCGAAAGCGUGGGAGCAAACA
rnacentral:rRNA from 1 species